AACUCUCAAGCAGAGAUGGCUUUGUUGCUUGUCUUUGUUUGGAUUUGGACUUUGCUGUGUCAAUGCGGCUGGUCUUAAAUGUAUUAGCUGGUCCUUAUGAAUGAUUUGGUUCUACUCGGCGUGAUAAUUAUCUAACGUUGAGGACAGUCUUAGGACUGGCCAGAGCUAUCUUUGGAUUGCUUCUAAUUGUCCUUGGACAUACUACUCAAUU
rnacentral:misc_RNA from 1 species